rnacentral:rRNA from 1 species
UGGGCAACCUGCCCUCAGCUCUGGGAUAACCCCGGGAAACCGGGGCUAAUACCGGAUACGACCUCCACGGGCAUCUGCGGAGGUGGAAAGGUUUUCCGGCUGAGGAUGGGCCCGCGGCCUAUCAGCUAGUUGGUGGGGUGAUGGCCCACCAAGGCGACGACGGGUAGCUGGUCUGAGAGGAUGAUCAGCCACAUUGGGACUGAGACACGGCCCAGACUCCUACGGGAGGCA